AACGAACGCUGGCGGCAUGCCUAACACAUGCAAGUCGAACGAGACCUUCGGGUCUAGUUGCGCACGGGUGCGUAACGCGUGGUAACCUGCCCUUAGGUUCGGAAUAACUCCCCGAAAGGUGUGCUAAUACCGGAUAAUGUCUUCGGACCAAAGAUUUAUCGCCUUUGGAUGGGCCCGCGUUGGAUUAGCUAGUUGGUAGGGUAAAAGCCUACCAAGGCGACGAUCCAUAGCUGGUCUGAGAGGAUGAUCAGCCACACUGGGACUGAGACACGGCCCAGACUCCUACGGGAGGCAGCAGUGGGGAAUAUUGGACAAUGGGCGAAAGCCUGAUCCAGCAAUGCCGCGUGAGUGAUGAAGGCCUUAGGGUUGUAAAGCUGUUUUACCCGGGAUGAUAAUGACAGUAACGGGAGAAUAAGCUCCGGCUAACUCCGUG
rnacentral:rRNA from 1 species